rnacentral:rRNA from 1 species
AUUGAACGCUAGCGGCAUGCCUUACACAUGCAAGUCGAACGGCAGCACGGGUGCUUGCACCUGGUGGCGAGUGGCGAACGGGUGAGUAAUACGUCGGAACGUACCUUAUCGUGGGGGAUAACGCAGCGAAAGCUGUGCUAAUACCGCAUACGCCCUGAGGGGGAAAGCGGGGGAUCGCAAGACCUCGCGCGAUUAGAGCGGCCGAUGCCUGAUUAGCUUGUUGGUGGGGUAAAAGCCCACCAAGGCGACGAUCAGUAGCUGGUCUGAGAGGACGAUCAGCCACACUGGGACUGAGACACGGCCCAGACUCCUACGGGAGGCAGCAGUGGGGAAUUUUGGACAAUGGGGGCAACCCUGAUCCAGCAAUGCCGCGUGAGUGAAGAAGGCCUUCGGGUUGUAAAGCUCUUUUGUCAGGGAAGAAACACCGGCUCUAACACAGUCCGGGAAUGACGGUACCUGAAGAAUAAGCACCGGCUAACUACGUGCCAGCAGCCGCAGUAA